GAUGAACGCUGGCGGCGUGGAUUAGGCAUGCAAGUCGAACGCGAAAGUUCCCUUCGGGGAGCGAGUAGAGUGGCGAAAGGGUGAGUAAUGCUUGGAUGACCUGCCCUCGAGACGGGGACAACAGUUCGAAAGGACUGCUAAUACCCGAUAGUCCGGUUUAGAUGCGUCUAGAUCGGUAAAUGGUGCUUCCGCUCGAGGAGGGGUUCAAGUCCUAUCAGCUUGUUGGUGAGGUAACGGCUCACCAAGGCGAUGACGGGUAGCCGGACUGAGAGGUUGGCCGGCCACAUGGGAACUGAGACACUGUCCUGACUCCUACGGGAGGACCUGGCAGUCGAGAAUCUUCUGCAAUGGGCGAAAGCCUGACAGAGCGACGCCGCGUGGAGGAUGAAGGCCCUCGGGUCGUAAAC
rnacentral:rRNA from 1 species